rfam:Rattus norvegicus chromosome 12, whole genome shotgun sequence.
GGGGAUUUAGCUCAGUGGUAGAGCGCUUGCCUAGAAAGUGCAAGGCCCUGAGUCAGUCCUCA